rnacentral:lncRNA from 1 species
CUCAUUUUUCUCUUGCCGCCACCACGAAAGAAGUGCCUUUUGCCUCCCGUCAUGAUUCUGAGGCCUCCCCAGCCAUGUGGAACUGUUUGAGGCACAGAGCUGUAUAUACAAUAACAGUGAAAUUGAUCCCACUACUAAUUAUGACAAAAAUGAUCUUCCACGUAAACAGGUGGUGAAGCUCCUUAUGGUCCUGACCCUACAGUUCCUGUCCCAUGACCAGGGCCAGAUCACCAAGGAGCUGCAGCAGUUCGUCGUCAGUGGCAGCCCCAUGCGAGCACCCGAGGAAGGGCUGUGACCGUCUAUGACAAGCCAGCAUCUUUCUUUCAAGAGACCUCUGGACCUGCAGCACCAACUCUUCAUGAAGCUGGGCGGCACGCACUCUCCGUUCAGGGCCUGAACCUGAGGACCCAGACACGGAGCGGUCGGCCUUCAUGGAGCGGGAUGCUGGGAGCGGGCUGGUGAUGCGCCUCCGCGAGCGGCCAGCCCUGCUGGUCAGCAGCACAGGCUGGACAGAGGACGAAGACUUCUCCAUCUGCUGGCAGCUUUAGAAAAGUUUGAACAACUGACUCUUGAUGGACACAACCUUCCUUCUCUCGUCUGUGUGAUAACAGGCAAAGGGCCUCCGAGGGAGUAUUACAGCCGCCUCAUCCACCAGAAGCAUUUCCAGCACAUCCAGGUCUGCACCCCUUGGCUGGAGGCCGAGGACUACCCCCGCUUCUAGCAGGGUCGGUGGAUCUGGGUGUCUGUCUGCACACGUCCUGCAGUGGCCUGGACCUGCCCAUGAAGGUGGUGGACAUGUUCGGGUGCUGUUUGCCUGUGUGUGCCGUGAACUUCAAGUGGCAGGAGCAGAACCCGAAUCUUUCUGGGGAUAGCUUCACAGAUCCACCGCUGAGGAGGAAACAGUGCAGAGCGAGCUGCCCACAGUGAGGCCCUGCUCCUGGUUUACAUGAGCUGGUGAAACAUGAAGAAAAUGGCCUGGUCUUUGAGGACUCAGAGGAACUGGCAGCUCAGCUGCAGGUGCUUUUCUCAAACUUUCCUGAUCCUGCGGGCAAGCUAAACCAGUUCCGGAAGAACCUGCGGGAGUCGCAGCAGCUCCGAUGGGAUUAGAGCUGGGUGCAGACUGUGCUCCCUUUGGUUAUGGACACAUAACUCCUGGGCCAGAGGCUAAAACCCCGGGACCCCUGCUGUCCUUCCCACAGCUUCUUCUCAGAGUCUCAGGGCAAAUCCUUUCGAGCAGCGCCUCCCAGUGGCCAGAAGCUGAAAUGAUGGCAGUAGUGCCACCUGGUGAAUGAAUUGGUUCUGUGACCCGG